GUCAAGUUAGUUUAUAUAAAAACAUCAGCCUGUGGAUUUGAAAAUGAAAUUUUUUUUCACUUGACC
rnacentral:tRNA from 1 species